rnacentral:rRNA from 1 species
UUGAGUAGAGCGGCGCACGGGUGAGUAACGCGUGGAUGAUCUACCCUUGAGUUCGGGAUAACGGAACGAAAGAUCCGCUAAUACCGUAUAACAAUCCAUUUCAUCGUGGGUUCAAAGCAGGCCUCUUCGUGAAAGCUUGCGCUUGGGGAUGAGUCCGCGUCCCAUUAGCUUGUUGGCGGGGUAACGGCCCACCAAGGCAACGAUGGGUAGCUGGUCUGAGAGGAUGAUCAGCCACACUGGAACUGAAACACGGUCCAGACUCCUACGGGAGGCAGCAGUGGGGAAUAUUGCGCAAUGGGGGAAACCCUGACGCAGCGACGUCGUGUGAGGGAAGAAGGCCUUCGGGUCGUAAACCUCUGUCAGAAGGGAAGAAAAACUAGGAGUCAAAUAGCCUCUUAGUCUGACGGUACCUUCAAAGGAAGCGCCGGCUAACUCCGUGCCAGCAGCCGCGGUAAUACGGAGGGCGCAAGCGUUAAUCGGGAAUUACUGGGCGUAAAGCGUGCGUAGGCUGUUUGAUAAGUCAGACGUGAAAUCCCUCGGCUCNACCGGGGAACUGCGUUUGAUACUGUU